rnacentral:sRNA from 1 species
GGCCCGUAAUAACUCUAGUGGCAGUUCACGGCACCAGGACCUUAAGCUUUCAUGCACAUUUAAAACUUUUAUGAUUAACUUGCUAGCCACUUUUUAUUUUCUAUUUGAUGGAUUAUGUUCGUUGAUCGUCAAAUUUUAACAAGGUGCUUGCUUAAACUAUAUCCAAGUUGUCAGUUUGAGAGUCAAAGCAGCAUGCUUACUUCUGGUCAUUUUCAUUUAUUUUAGGAAAUAUAUAUUGAUACAGUAUGUAUAGCAAAAUGAAUUCAAUUCUUCUUUGGAAAAAACUAAUCGUGGCAGUUUAUUUUUCAACAAAUCGCUUGCUUUCUUUAAUAGUAUAUUUACAAUUACACAAAAAAGGUACAUUGUAAAAAACUUAUGUGUAAUAAACAUAGCGUUUUUCU